UACUUUGCUUUGAUGGAGACUAGUAAAUAGUUAAUCAUCUACCAGGGAAUAGACGCCAGCGACUGGAAGCGUCUUAGAUGGAGAGACUGUAGAAUUCACUCCAGAGCUAACGACUGAAUUAUAUUUCAUACAGUAGGUCGAACGCAGCCCAGCGUUAUGGGAAUCAAGUGAUUACUAAUUUAGUAGUAACACGGGUGGUACCGCGGAAUUCAAACCUAUGUUUCGUCCCGAUU
rnacentral:ncRNA from 1 species